rnacentral:misc_RNA from 1 species
GGCUUUCUUUCGCAAGUUUGUAGAAGUUGUUAAUAUGACCCCAUAAUGUCUUCUCAAAGGUCUCCCAAGUUUGGUCUACAUCUUCAAAAUAUUCUCUUAAUCUGCCAACCUCUUCUUUGUGAGAUGCUGCAGCUGCUAGUGCAAACCUUCGCUUCCCAUCAAGUGCCGUUAGCCUCUCAUAAGUAUUAACAAUCUCUUUAUCAUCGCUCAAAGAAUUUUGUGCCUCAGCUGCUUCAACAGAUAUGGACAUCAUACCCUCAACAUCCUUCAAUGUUGUAUUUAGGUUAUUCCUUGCAUUGCUAAGAAGCUUUAUCUGAUCAUGAUUAUCAAUUAAGGUUUGACAUUCUUGGCAGAGCUUUUCAAUUGAAAUAAAGUUCUCACGAAGCUCAUUUAUUGUCUUCUGUGAUGAGGCAAGUGCUUCCAAUCCAGUUUGUGCUUGCUCAACCUGCUCUGCAACCAUUGUACUGAGUUGCGCAUCAUUUGCCUGUUGGCGCGUAAUGUAAUCGGCCUUGAUGGAGGCAAUAGACUCUCCGGUAACGGCAAGAGCUUGGCAACCUCGCGCACGGCGGCUUCCUUGGCUUCGACGCCGAGAUCCUCCACCAUCAUUUUUCCGCGGAAGGAUUAGAGAAU